UACAGAGGGUGCUAGCGUUGUUCGGAAUCAUUAGGCGUAAAGGGCGUGUAGGCGGUUUGUUAAGUCAUGUGUGAAAUCCCUCGGCUCAACCGGGGAACGACGCAUGAAACUGGCAAGCUAGAGUACCAAAGAGGGGGGUGGAAUUCCCGGUGUAGCGGUGGAAUGCGUAGAGAUCGGGAAGAACAUCAGUGGCGAAGGCGGUCUGCUGGGCCGUUGCUGACGCUGAGGCGCGACAGCGUGGGGAGCAAACAGG
rnacentral:rRNA from 1 species